AGGCGAAGGUCGCCGCCAUGUUCGGCAAUAGC
rnacentral:scRNA from 1 species